rnacentral:rRNA from 3 species
UACGGAGGGGGCCAGCGUUGUUCGGAAUCAUUGGGCGUAAAGGGCGCGUAGGUGGCCGCGCAAGUCGGAGGUGAAAUCCCUCGGCCCAACCGAGGAACUGCCUCUGAAACUGCGCGGCUCGAGUCCCGGAGAGGGCAGUGGAAUUCCCAGUGUAGCGGUGAAAUGCGUAGAUAUUGGGAGGAACACCGGUGGCGAAGGCGGCUGCCUGGACGGGUACUGACGCUGAGGCGCGAAAGCGUGGGGAGCAAACAGG